UCGUGAAGCAGUUGCCUGUGCUUUGGAAGCUAAUGGUAUCCCUAUGACUCAUCCAUCCUUUCGAGCAUGUGGAAAGAAACUGUUUGCUGUUUGUAAGACAUUUGCUAAGGAUGUGAUUGGUCACGGAAGUACCUCUACAAUGUUGAAAAAGAUUGCAAAUGCUCAUGUAAAACAGGUCAUAGAAUUUGAAAGGAUGAAACUUUCUACAACAUAAAAGUUUCUAAUAUUAAACUUUAAGAUCAACAUCUCUUCUAUCUUGAUACGUCCUGAUUAACAUCAUCCUUAUCCUGAUCAUGCAUAAUUGUUUUAAAUUAAUUUCUUAGUAAAACAACUUUGCAAUCAUGUAACUCUUGAUUCAUAAUACAGUUUUCUUUCUGCUUAACUUUAGGACACAGAAAUAUUGUUUAAAUGUCAAUCAGAACAUGACAACAAAAGAUCUGUUGCAAACUCUUUCAAUUUGUGAAUGCAUCAGAUGUCCUGUUUCUUCAAAUUGUAAUUUAACUCACUAUGUUACUUUAGAGCUCAUACAUAAAGUGGAAAAAAAAUAUUUGGAAUGAAAUUAUUUUAUUUUCCUUCACUAUUUGACUUUCUUGUAAACAAGAGACUUUCAUAUUCUGUUUGCAGUAUUUAUUAAUCACAUUUAUUAAUAUAUUUCUUGGUCAUACAACAAUAUUAUUAUGUUAGGAAAAAUUGAGAAUCAGAUGGAGAAAUUAAAACCAACUAGGCUUAUAUUGAUAAGAUCAGCAAGGAACUCAUACUGUUGGUAAUCCAUUCAGGAAACUGCACUGUUUCCGGUGCAUUGUUUUUUUCUCAACAAACGUUAAAAAUGUCAUUACUGAAAAUAAAGGUCUUCUUUACUUAAUGUAAUACAUGUAACUGUAGUAAUAUUUAGUUUUAAUAUGUUCUCUAAACUUGAAAUUCUUAUUCAUACUUGACUUUAAUUCACCCUCUUUUAAAGUUUUUCUUAGUAUUUGACAAAUUUAUCAAUUACACGAAAUUUACCACUAUUAUACAGAAACAUCAAUUAUUGCUGUUUGAUACCUGUAAAUUUUUUAAAUUAGAACAUUGAUUGGCAAAUAAUUUGUUUCAAUUUACUAUUCUGAAAAACAGAAUAUGAUUGAACUUUCUUCCUGCAUUUUUGUUGCAAAUUUUUACCCUAGUUUAACAAUGCUUACAUUAAACAUUCAACCAAAAGAACAUGUAUUGAAUUUAGUAUAUGAAUAAUGACACUUGAAUGUUUGAGUGAGCAGCAUGUUUUAAAUUAAAUUUUGUCCUAGAAGUUUUUAUCCAUCUAAAAACAAUAUUUUAGAAAAUAUAUAAAUGUCAGUGAUUUAGUAUCUUAUGACAUUGUGAAGUGUGUUCAAUAUUAAAUUUGUUUUUUUAA